rnacentral:lncRNA from 1 species
CAUACCCAGCGACAUCUGGAACUUAUUUCCGGCAGAACCUCCUCGUCCUAUGUAUUGCAACAAAUGAUAAAUCGGUGAGACAAUGUAACUCAAUUCUAAAAUAUAAUCUACACCAAAAAGAACCAAUAUACUAAUUCUUGAAUAUAACAAAAAUAAAUACAAAGGACAAAAAAAGCCUUUUUUGUUUGAAAACUGAAGUAGAAAUGCCAGAUUAUAGAUUUUCCUGCAAAGAAUCAUAAAAAACGAGAGCCAUAAAUCAAUAGACACCUAAACGGUCUUAAUAAUCACUUCUCUCACAAGCAUCUAAAUAACAUGGUAAAAUCUUAAAAAAAAUCUGCUAAUAAAAAACAAAUAAGAAGGUGUGGAGUCAAGACUUUUCACUGCGUAUCUAGCAGAAACUGAUAAAAAAAUUAGGAGAGAUCUAAUAAAGCGUAAGCUUUCCAGGAGGAAAAAACGGAAGACCAAAACUUGAAUGAAAAAAUGAAAUCCAAUUAGUUUGAUGAAGGAAUCAAGCCUUACAAUCGCCCUAAAAUCGGACGCAUUCAUCCAGCAAAGAUUAAACUUGCAAGGCUUCUACAUCGGUCUCUUUUGUUUUCCCUAAAGCAAACAACAAAGACAAAAAGGCGCUCAUCUGAAGACACCCAGAAAAACCUCCUUGGUUACACUUAACACUAGCCACCCACUCCUUGCAGCAAGAAGCAGCUGGGUAAAAAAUGAAACUGCUUGGUUUAAAUAAAAAAAUAAAAGAAAAGAGGUGUAUGUAUGUCUCAUGGCCAGUCCAGAAAGAUAAUGGCAGCGAUGCUGCUUCUCCAGGCGAUGGAAUAUGAGACCAUCAUCA